UACUUUUCAUCAUUGUCACGUGGCAUUCACUCAUUGGGUCUUAGAAGACCUUUGAUGUCCCUGUGGUCUCACCGUUUGAUAAAAACCUUCGACCUUCUAUUCCAUUAGACUCCAUUUGUUAGCUUAUAUAAAAAUAUGUUUUUGCCUUUAUUUCCCUUCUUUACUUGAUAAACAUACCAAACCUUCAGACUUAUGUAACCUCUCUAUUUCUC
rnacentral:lncRNA from 1 species